rnacentral:rRNA from 1 species
AGCUUGCUCCUUUGACGUUAGCGGCGGACGGGUGAGUAACACGUGGGUAACCUACCUAUAAGACUGGGAUAACUUCGGGAAACCGGAGCUAAUACCGGAUAAUAUUUCGAACCGCAUGGUUCGAUAGUGAAAGAUGGUUUUGCUAUCACUUAUAGAUGGACCCGCGCCGUAUUAGCUAGUUGGUAAGGUAACGGCUUACCAAGGCGACGAUACGUAGCCGACCUGAGAGGGUGAUCGGCCACACUGGAACUGAGACACGGUCCAGACUCCUACGGGAGGCAGCAGUAGGGAAUCUUCCGCAAUGGGCGAAAGCCUGACGGAGCAACGCCGCGUGAGUGAUGAAGGUCUUCGGAUCGUAAAACUCUGUUAUUAGGGAAGAACAUACGUGUAAGUAACUAUGCACGUCUUGACGGUACCUAAUCAGAAAGCCACGGCUAACUACGUGCCAGCAGCCGCGGUAAUACGUAGGUGGCAAGCGUUAUCCGGAAUUAUUGGGCGUAAAGCGCGCGUAGGCGG